rnacentral:rRNA from 1 species
CAGUAGCCACGGUAAUACGGAGGGUGCGAGCGUUAAUCGGAAUUACUGGGCGUAAAGCGCACGCAGGCGGUUCGUUAAGUCAGAUGUGAAAUCCCCGAGCUUAACUUGGGAACUGCAUUUGAAACUGGCAAGCUAGAGUCUUGUAGAGGGGGGUAGAAUUCCAGGUGUAGCGGUGAAAUGCGUAGAGAUCUGGAGGAAUACCGGUGGCGAAGGCGGCCCCCUGGACAAAGGCUGACGCUCAGGUGCGAAAGCGUGGGGAGCAAACAGGAUUAGAGACCCCAGUAGUCCCUGUCUCUUAUAC